CAGGACGCACCAAAAAGGCCAUAAGAGAAAAUCUGUGAACAUCUUCGGAUUCUUCUCGUCCCAAGUUGAAUCUGGCUCGACUAUCAGUCUUAGAAUGUUGAAUUGGCUGGGAAAGACGAGCUUCAGUUCGGUCAUUUCGAUCAUCUGGUCGUGGAUCUGGCCGAAGCUCCAAUCCAAAUGUUCGCGGGUCGAUCUGGUAAACGGCCCGAUCGGUCUGUAUGGUCUUGUCGGAAGAGUGAACCUCAAUUGGGACGUCUGGAAC
rnacentral:lncRNA from 1 species